CGGGUCUACCACAAAGCCUGUUUCCGCUGUCACCAUUGCAAAGGAACUCUCAAGGUCUGAGUUCUUCUUCUUCUUUACAUCUUCUGAUGAUUUCUUGAUAAACACCAAGGGAAGAUCUAGUAGAUAUAUAAAUGUUAGAGAAGACCCAUAUUAAUAAGUAUACUUUUCAUUUAUUUAUGUGGAAGAGUGACAGAUGAAUCUUUGACUGGUUUAAAGAUUUGAUUAUGCUUUUAUUGUUGAUGAAACAGCUUAGCAAUUACAACUCCUUUGAAGGAGUUCUCUAUUGCAGACCACAUUUUGAUCAGAACUUCAAGAGAACAGGAAGUCUUGAGAAGAGCUUCGAAGGUAAAUAUUCAGCAAGAAAAAAAAAACAGAUCAAUAUAACAAAACUCUGUGAGCUUUUUUAAACUUGAAAAUAUUAAUCAAAGUUUUUAUUUAAAUAUUUUAGGGACACCAAAGAUCGGAAAACCGGAUAGGCCUUUGGAGGGAGAGGUAGUUUCAGACAGCAACCUGUUCUUGAUUGUGUUUUUUUUUUUUAUGUUCGUGUCAUUAAUCAGCUAACUAGAGCUAUCUUUAACAGAGACCUGCUGGUACUAAAGUGUCUAAUAUGUUUGGUGGAACACGAGAAAAAUGCGUUGGCUGUGACAAAACCGUCUAUCCAAUUGAGAAGGUAUAUACAAUCCAAAACCUUACUUAAUAAUCAGAAUCAAAUGCGUAAACCAUAGCCAAAAACAUUAUAAUAUAUUGUAAAACAUGUGAAAACUUGAACAUUACUGUACUGCUUGUUAUGUGGACUUUGUGAAGGUGUCGGUGAAUGGGACAUUGUACCACAAGAGCUGCUUCAAGUGUACACAUGGAGGAUGCACGAUAAGUCCUUCGAAUUACAUAGCUCACGAGGGGAAGCUUUAUUGCAAGCACCAUCAUAUUCAGCUGAUCAAGGAGAAAGGAAAUUUGAGCCAGCUUGAAGGAGGAGAUAAUGCCGCUAAGGACAAAGUGGACGCUGCUUGAAAAAAAAAGAGAUACAGUUCAUUUUGACCCUUGAGAACCAAUAGUCUCACUACCUCUCGAUCUGCAACAUAUAUUGGUUUUCUUUCUUCUUAAACUUGUGUUCUUUCUCGUUGUUUCUUUUGGGAUCUUUGUUGUCUCCUCGGGUGAUCUUGUUCACUCUUCGUUGGGUUUCUUGAGAUGAAACAAAGAAACAUAUAAAUAAUGGAAUAUUUGCUUAUGAGAAUAUAUGCAUUGCGUUCAAAUAACAGUUGUUUAUAAUUUGGUUUUCCAUGAAGAGUAUUCUUCUCAAUCCAUGUGACUUUCAUAUGUUCUCAUUUUAACAAAAGCUAAUUUGUUUCUACGAUUCUAGGAGUUUUUGUACGUACUUGACAUAAUAGUAUUAUCCUAAUACUUGGCUUUAUACAUCUCUUGCUAGGGUCUUAGAUAGUUUAUAAACUAUAGUCAAACAUCUAAGCGACAUAAUUUUCUUGUAUUCAAUUCAAACAAAAAGUGGACGUGCCGGAGUGGUUAUCGGGCAUGACUAGAAAUCAUGUGGGCUUUGCCCGCGCAGGUUCGAAUCCUGCCGUUCACGUUGUUUUUGUUGCUUAUAUUUUUUUUCCUGUUGUUUCAUUGGUUGGUUAUUUCUUACUUUUAAAGAAUUUGUUGUCAACUAUUCAUGAAAUAGUUGUACAUAAUAAUACUUUUAUACAAAUGCCUACAUAUGCAUUCAAUUAUAGACGUCUUAUGUCAUGGACGGAAAAACUUGUAUUCAUUCUAUUAAUUAUUGAAAUACGCAAACAUUAUGCGUAAUUUCGGUUAAUUUGUAUUGCGUUAGAUACGUACAAGACAGAAAAAUGAUAUUUUUAAUAUAUAUUCAUAAAGUAGGCGGUUAUAUAUAUAGCCAAGAGAGUCCUAACGAUGCUAUCAUUCCAACUAUAUAUUAAUCAAAACUUAGGUGAAUAUACAUACAUCAAAUCAGAUUUUACGAAAUAAACUUUUGGUAUAUAUAUUACACACACCACCAUAUCUCAAAUGAAGACACACUUAUAACGAAUCCAACAAAGACCGCACGGGACUCGAGUUAUGUUUAGUCCAAACCACCAUGAGUUGGAUCAUACUUUUAAAGCCAAAGUCCCCUUCUCAUGGGAACUAAAGCCUGGAGUUUCAAGAAAGAAGAACAGAAGUGGCCGUGAUCAGCUACAAUGGACGCUUACGCCACCUCCAUGUCCUCAUGCUGAGUAUAGUUACGAAGUGUUGCAGAGUCCUCUUGCUGUCUGUCCUUUCACGCCUUCCAACAUGGUCAAGACUUCGAGGUCCGGUUUGUCAAGUUUUAGGAAGAAAGACGUUGACCCUUUUCUUGAAGCUUACAGGAAAUGCUUAGAGAACAGCCCGAUUCGAAUAUCUUCUUCGAUGGGAAGAAAUGUACGAGGUGAUCAAGAUUGUUACACGACAGGCAACAAGAAGAAGUCUUUGCUUCUAUGGCUAUGGAGUAAGUACUCUUGCAAGUUUCGUACUGAUGGCUGGAGUACGGUCUCUCGAUUCCGUAAAUCCAAGAAGAGAAUUGAUUCCACAAACAUGUUUUGAUAUAGUUACAGAAUUUUAUAAAUACGAUUGUUCAUUAAAGACAACAUUAUAAGUGAAAUGUCAAUGUGAGAUUUACUCAAUACAUGUAGAUACAAGUGUUACGUGUCUUCAUUGAAAUGUAUGUUUCUCCAAGGACUUUUUCUAUGUCAAAGAUAUUUCUAAUACAUGUGUUAUGUGUCUUCAUUGAAAUGUAUGUUUAUCCAAGGACUUUUUCACUAUAAUUUUUUUUAAUAAAAUAUAAAGUAGAUACAAAACUGGAAAAAUCAGAAAAGUUUGAGUUUCUUAUAGAAACCAAAACACUAAAAUUCAUCAACCACAAGUUUCUAUUUCAAAUUAUGGUUUAUUUAGGAUAUAGUCUGACCCGAACCAAAAACCAAAUGCCCAGCGCUACUAUCCGAUGGUAUAAUUAGCAUUGAUAAAAAAAUUUUAUAUGACUUGUCAAUCCUCAAACAGAAAAAAGUGAAUGAAAUGAAAAAUAUAUAAACCAUUUUUGUGAUGAACAAAUAUUUUCUUUUGAUGAUCCUAGAAAGUAAAUUGUUCAUCCCAAUUUCAAAAGUUAUUUGCAAAAAACUAAUCUACUGGUUUAUGUUUGAAGGUAAAAAAGGUUUCUCCAGCUCUAGACGCCAUGGAAGUAUUUGGGGCUUCUUAUCCAGAUGAUAGUCUAGUGUGGGUUCAAAGAGCAGUAGUGGUUUGCCUCUUAAACUCUGAAUAUUUAAUCAUGUCACUGAGUGGAAUGACUUGGUUCAGAAGAUAUUAGAUGUGUAAUGAUGAUCAGAGACUCUAUGGGUAUUGGAGAUGCUCUAGGAUACUUGUAGCGAAAUAAAUAUUAAGGAUGAGUAAGUUGAAAGUAAAAGAGUCAAGCAAUGAGAAGUUGAAAAUAAAAGAGUCAAGCAUAUCGUUCAAUUAUCUAAGUACUUGUAACGAAAUUUCAUUUCACAACCUGCUUGUACACAGGAAGAGAGGUUUUUGGAUUAUCUCGGAAAGAUAAAGACACAUAAAGUGAUAAAACCAACGACACAAGUUGGCAUGUUUUGUUUAUUUUUGAACAUAUAUCUUACUUAAGUAAAGAGUUACUAUUAAAAGUAACACUUACUCAGAGUCGGGCACAAGCUGAGACUCGCCCAAGAGACAAACGCAGUGAGUUGUCGGCUCGACAGUUCUUCGAACAAUGGCUAUGUGUUUGCAAACACCAUCCGCUCCCAAGUCUUGAUCAUAUCUUAUGUAGACAAGGACAUUCCUAAGACUCUUGAGUACAGUCUCAUGUGGCACAUUUUCCUCAGUCUCUACCUUCUGAUGAUUUCUUGAUAAACACCAAGGGAAGAUCUAGUAGAUAUAUAAAUGUUAGAGAAGACCCAUAUUAAUAAGUAUACUUUUCAUUUAUUUAUGUGGAAGAGUGACAGAUGAAUCUUUGACUGGUUUAAAGAUUUGAUUAUGCUUUUAUUGUUGAUGAAACAGCUUAGCAAUUACAACUCCUUUGAAGGAGUUCUCUAUUGCAGACCACAUUUUGAUCAGAACUUCAAGAGAACAGGAAGUCUUGAGAAGAGCUUCGAAGGUAAAUAUUCAGCAAGAAAAAAAAAACAGAUCAAUAUAACAAAACUCUGUGAGCUUUUUUAAACUUGAAAAUAUUAAUCAAAGUUUUUAUUUAAAUAUUUUAGGGACACCAAAGAUCGGAAAACCGGAUAGGCCUUUGGAGGGAGAGGUAGUUUCAGACAGCAACCUGUUCUUGAUUGUGUUUUUUUUUUUUAUGUUCGUGUCAUUAAUCAGCUAACUAGAGCUAUCUUUAACAGAGACCUGCUGGUACUAAAGUGUCUAAUAUGUUUGGUGGAACACGAGAAAAAUGCGUUGGCUGUGACAAAACCGUCUAUCCAAUUGAGAAGGUAUAUACAAUCCAAAACCUUACUUAAUAAUCAGAAUCAAAUGCGUAAACCAUAGCCAAAAACAUUAUAAUAUAUUGUAAAACAUGUGAAAACUUGAACAUUACUGUACUGCUUGUUAUGUGGACUUUGUGAAGGUGUCGGUGAAUGGGACAUUGUACCACAAGAGCUGCUUCAAGUGUACACAUGGAGGAUGCACGAUAAGUCCUUCGAAUUACAUAGCUCACGAGGGGAAGCUUUAUUGCAAGCACCAUCAUAUUCAGCUGAUCAAGGAGAAAGGAAAUUUGAGCCAGCUUGAAGGAGGAGAUAAUGCCGCUAAGGACAAAGUGGACGCUGCUUGAAAAAAAAAGAGAUACAGUUCAUUUUGACCCUUGAGAACCAAUAGUCUCACUACCUCUCGAUCUGCAACAUAUAUUGGUUUUCUUUCUUCUUAAACUUGUGUUCUUUCUCGUUGUUUCUUUUGGGAUCUUUGUUGUCUCCUCGGGUGAUCUUGUUCACUCUUCGUUGGGUUUCUUGAGAUGAAACAAAGAAACAUAUAAAUAAU
rnacentral:lncRNA from 1 species